GGAGGGCAUCUUCAGUAGGUACUGGACGCCGUCUGAGAAACGGUUGCAGGGUCUUAGUCAGCUCUGGGAGUUCGACUCUCCUGCCCUCCG
rnacentral:sRNA from 1 species